CUGCCCCGCGGAAGCAGAUGUGCGACGGAGUCCGCCGCGGAGGCAGCCUGAUGAAGACGUCCAUCGCACCGCCCUCCGGGGAACCGGGGAGCGGCCCGAGAACGGGAGAGAACGCUGAGCGUUACAAC
rfam:Corynebacterium sp. HMSC08F01 Corynebacterium_spHMPREF3171-1.0_Cont23.1, whole genome shotgun sequence.